rnacentral:lncRNA from 1 species
CAGAUCUGAGCCGAGUCUGUGACCUACACUGCAGCUCAUGGCAAGGCCGCAUCCUUAAUCUUCUGAGCCAGGCCAGGGAUUGAACCCCUGUCCGCAUGGGUCCUAGUCGGGUUUGUUACCACAGUGCCAUAACAGGAACUCCCCGACCUCAAGUUCUUAACCCACUGAGCCACAAUGGGAACUCCUGCUCAGGUAUUCGUAAGACAGCAGAGCGAGAGGGAGAGGUGGCAGGUGUGAGGGAGAGAGGGGGAGAUAAUUUAUACAGAAUAUGAAAGUUCAGUUUGAUGAGUGUUGACAGUUGAAUGUAUUUGUCUAUCACUGCCCAAAAUAGGAUAUAAAAUAUUUCAAAACCCAGGAAGUUCCCUUUUACCUCUAGUUAGUCUCCUUACCCUUAUUUAGCAAAUAUUUUCUGAUUCUGGUUACCCUGAUUAGAUUUGCCCAUUCUUGAGUAUAAGAUAAAUGGAAUCAUGCAGCAUGCAUUCUUUUUGUGUCUCUUUCACUCAACAUGUUCUUGGGGAUUCAUUCAUGUUUCACAUGUUGUCAAAGAUGAAACACCCUUUGUCACAGGUAAACAAAGCUGGAUACUCAUUAAAGUGGUAAGGUUAGAUUUUAGUCUGUAAUAACGAUUGCAAUGUGGCAAAGAAUCCAGCAUGAACUCAACUCAACUCCAGUUUGUACAGAGGGUGUUUUAAAGGAGAAUGAGGGAGGAAGGAGGGGAAGCAGGGAUUCAUUGGAGUCAGAGAAAAAGCACGGAACGUGGGGAAGAGGGGGUUGGUCCAUGUGAAAGCAUCUGGCUUUGCUAACUGGGGGACAGGGUGUUACCUGGAGCAAAGAGUAAGUUCUUUUGACAGCCUGGAGUUUUCUCAAGGAAGCAAGCCCUCUAAGGGGAACUGGAGUCAUCCUGGUGAUGUGGCCUUGAGCUGUUCGCACCUGAGUUCAAGUUUGCUCAGGCCUUUAUGUUCUUUUUUUUUUUUUUUGGUCUUUUUGCCUUUUCUGGGGCCAAUCCCGUGGCAUAUGGAGAUUCCCAGUCUAGGGGUCUAAUUGGAGCUGUAGCCACUGGCCUAUGCCAGAGCCACAGCAAUGCAGAAUCCGAGCUGCAUCUGCAACCUACACCACAGCUCAUGGCAAUGCCAGAUCCUUAACCCACUGAGCAAGGCCAGGAAUUGAACCUGCAACCUCAUGGUUUCUAGUCGGAUUCGUUAACCACUGUGCCGCAGUGGGAACUCCAGGCCUUUAUAUUCUAAGCCCAGGUGGAGGUCUAGUCGAGGAGCAGCUCAGAGGAGGCAGGUGACAGGUUGGUCAAGGAGAGAAUCAUGGUCAGUGUCAAAUCAUGUGCUCCUUUUUGUGUUGUUGUGUGAAUAUAACACGAUUUGUUCUGUUCACCUGGUGGUACAGAUUUGAGUUGGAUCUGUGUUUGACCAUCAUGAACAGGCUGCAGGGAACACUGUUGUAGCAGUCUGAAAUGUCUCUUGGAUAGCUAUCUAGGAGUGGAAUUGCUUAGUCAUAUGUGGGUAUGUAUUUAACUGCCAGAUGAAUUUCCACAGUGGUUUAUCAGUUUGCACUUCUCACUCGCCAUGUAUCCAAACUGCAGUGGCUCCAUAUCCUUGUUAAACAUUCAUUGUUGUUAGUGGAUGUGAACUAGCGUCUCAUUUUCAUCUUAAAUGAUACUCCCCUGGUGACAAAUGCGUACUUCUCAGGUGCUUAUUGGCCAUUUCUGCAACUUCUUUUGUGAAUGGUCUGUUGGAGUCCUUUGCCCAUUGUUGCUGCUGGUGAUCACGUUGGUUCCACCUUAUUAGAGGUCAUGAUACAUUCUGGAUAGGACUCCUUUGUCAGACACCUGUGUUGUGAAUAGAUAUGCAUGCACAGGAAAAUGAGAACUUAAAAUAUCAUUUACAAUAUAGCAUUACAAAAGACCAGCUGUUUAAGUCCCAGUCAAAACUCUAGCCAUCUUUUCUUUUUCUGUAAGAAAUUAGCAAAUUGAAUCUAAAUGUGUGUGGAAAUGCAAAGAAUCUGGACUAGCCAAAUAAAAUAUCUUCAAAAGAAGAGGGACUUAGGGGAAUUUACACGCUUCUACUAAUUGUAAAGCUACAGUUAAGCUACUGGGAUUUUAGGAUAUGAAUGAGUCCCAGCUCCUUGUUUAAAAGCACUAUUUCAGACCAGGGAGCAGGUGUGCUCUGUUCUCCUUGGACAGUCUGGGCUUGUAGUGAAUUUUGUCCCUUAGCGAGUCCUUUGUGUGUUGCUGUGUUGAGUUGCUGCCUUGAGCAGCUUCACUUGCAUGCUUCCUCCUGGGUGUGUAUGGAUGUGCAAGCAUGGAUGCGAGAGGCUGGGGUGGGGAGGGGUUGACAUGUUUGUACCAAAUUCAGCACCUCUUGCAGUCAAGGCAGCAGGAAGCCUUGUUGCUGGAUGUGAAGAAAAGGAAGGAUGUGAUAUGUGCAUCGAGGAGCUGACAACCUAAUGGGUGACAUCCAGCAUAUCCCCCCCUCCUGCCCCACAUCUUCAGUUUGGACUUACUUAGCAAACAAUGUGGAAGUGGUUGUGUUAUUAGGAUAUCACUUAGGAUGCUUUAAGCUGCAAGUAACAGAAGCCCGACUCAAUUUGGCUUAAGUUGUAAAGACCUAUAUCAUCUCACUGGUACCUCACUCAUAUUCCUAGGGACGUAGAGAAGGCUCCAGGCCAUGGGGCAUGAUGGAGCCUUAGGGAUCCAGGUUCCUUCUAUGACUUGUCAUUUGUCCUCAGGCUGGUUCCACUCAUGGUGGCAGGAGACUUUCAGGGGUCAGCUGGGCUUCAGCUCCCCAAGUUGGAACACUCUCGCUUUAAAUCCUGGUAGUGUAGGUGAGGAUAGAGUUUUGGCUUCCUUAGCAUUUCCCAAGUUGUAGCUGUUUUGUGUAUGUGUUCCUGGUUUCCCUCCUUAGACCUGACUAAGGGACAGGAAAUGACAGGUGUAUAUGAAUCCAGAGAAAUUCCUUGGUAGUUAUUAGUGAUGUGGGCCCACUAUUUUGGGAUCUCCUUUCCCCUGGACCCAACUCUCUUGGUGGAUGAAAUGGCUCUGAUCAGCUCUGGCCAGUGAGUUUGCUGACUGAAUACAUGGUUGCAGGUCUUCUGAAUGGUAUAGGACAUGGGGUUACUUGAUGUUCCGGCCUGGGAAUGGAAUGUGUGAUCUGAGGGAAGAGUGAGCAUGGUGGGCACUGUGAUGGGCAGCGUCUGGGAAUAGAAAGGUGGAUGGAGAAGCCUGUUUAUGCUGGUGCUGGGUCACUAGAUGGGACUUGGCCUUUGAGGUCAAUACAUUAUUUCUUGUGGCUCCUUUACUUGGGUCCUGGGAACUUGGCCAUGGAACCUGGCCUGACUUACUCUCCUCACCUGUUUCCUUUUCCAUUGCUUCCAGAUGUGCAGUGAGCAGUGGCUACUGGCAGGACCCUUGCAUCCCGCAUUUGGUGAGACUGUCUAAAGAGAGGAAGGCCCCCAAAUUAACAGAGGCAACUCCUAGGGAUUCAUUCUAAAAAAGAGAGUGCUUUUGUGCACACUUUCCAACUUCCUCACCAGCACAGUAUCUUAGGAAAUUUUAUUUUUUGGCCAUACCUGGGCCCCUCUGUCUUAUGAAACGUAAUCUUUGUUCAUCUGAUAUAUGAUACAUGUGCACUCUUUUUAUUUUCUAUUUCUCUUGGGGUGACGUUGAAAAUGAUUUUUAUAUGCUUAGAAGCCAUUGAUCUGUCUUUUACUCUGAACUGUCCACAUUAGGGAUUAUUGCUGUUGUUGUUGCCCUGUUAAAAUGUUCAUAACACUCUUAGGUUCUGCAAGUAAUUUCUUUCUUUUUCCUUUUCUAGGGCCAUACCUGCCAUAUGGGAGUUCCUGGCUAGGGGUCAAAUCAGAGCUGUAGCUGCCAGCCUAUACCCCAGCCACAGCUAUGCCGGAUCUGAGCCUUGUUUGCAGUAUACCCUGCAGCUCUCAGCAGUGCCAGAUCCUUAACCCACUGAGUGUGGCCAGGAAUCCAAUCUGCAUCCUCAUGGAUCCUAGUCAGUUUCUUAACCUGCUGAGCCACAACAGGAACUCCUCAGCAAGUAAUUUUCAUCAAUGAAAUGGAAGGAUUUGAGACAGGAGUGUGGCUUCAUUUCAGCCAUAUUGGGAAACUGAAUGGUCCAGAGGCAGGGACCCUCCAUGGCCAGUGGCUCAGUGCCCCCUUCCUUCUUCCUCUCCUGGGUUUGCAUCUGGAGAUUGGGCACCUGCAGCCCAGCAGGAGAGGGCUUCCCAAACGUCUCCCCUGAGGACAUAUUCUUGUCCCCAGAGGGAAUCCACUGUGGAUGAGGUUCUGUAAAAUACAGUGAGAGAUGCUUUGCAGAGUUCCCAUUGUGGCUCAGUGGAUUAAGGACCUGAUGUAGACUCUAGGAGGAUGUGGGUUCAGUCCCUGGCCUCACUCAGUGGGUUAUGGAUUGGGUAUUGCCCACAGCUGGAGUGUAGGUCACACAUGUGUCAGGGUUGCAGUGUGGCAGUGGCUGUGGCAUAGGUUGGCAGCUUCAUCUCUGAUUUGAUCCCUAGCCUGGGAAC